UGUGUGUGUGUGUGUGUGUGUGUGUGUGUGUGUACACACACACACACACACAUGCAUGCAUG
rnacentral:miRNA from 1 species